UAAGAGAGAGUUUUAGGACUUGGUACUUUAGCUAGGGACUAGAGAAAGAGAGAGAGUUGGUGGACAGUGUUGGCUUAAGGGAGAGGUUAGCUUAAGGGAGAAGGGUGUUGGGAAUAUAUGCUUGGUGUUGGAGUUUGUCCUUAGCGUGCACUGGGAAGUGGGAUUAGACAUGGCAUCUUUACAGGCAAUGGUAAGAUGUCCCACGUCAAAUUAUUCAGGUUCUCAUGGGGUAUAAUUUUUGUCUGGGACAUGAGUUAGCUUUGGAAGUUAAUAAUGUUGGCUACCUUGAAAGUAGAAUAGAGCAAAGAGAUUUGCACAAGAAAAGAAUAACCAAGGGAAUAAAAAAAAGGAAAAAGAAAUGAAAAGAAUAGAACAAAGAUAAUAGGGAAGGAUUUUGAUGAUACCUGGUUUAGGGCAAGAAUGGUCACUGAGUAUAAGUAUGAUCUUGGAAUAAUACCUCGGGUUUGCAGGGUAGAAAAAAUAAUACGUGCAGCUAAGUGGAUAAGAUUGCAU
rnacentral:lncRNA from 1 species